rnacentral:lncRNA from 1 species
CACAGUUUGGUUCAUUUCUGUGCAUGUGUUGCUCGUUUCCCUAGUGGGCCAUUGCACUGUACCUGAUCAGAGAUGGAGCAGAGAUCGGAUCAUAGGAAGACAGCCUAUUUUCACUUCUGCUCCCAUGAAUGGAAAUGCUGAUGAUUGUUAACGGUUCUCAUUGCAGGUGUGCUUUGCUCCCAGCCUGUGUCUGCGCAGUCUGCAGGGUCACUCUGCUACAGGGGGUUCACAGCAGAGAUCUGGGAGGUGGUAGUGUGCUUCCAGUCGACAGCCAAAUCUGGCAGGUUCUCCAGAAGGCUGGACGUCAGUGGUCUGCGAUGAGAUGUAGUUCUCAAUGCCAGCUUCCGUCCUUCGUUGCUGCAAGGUGCCCCAAGGAUGGCAGGUAUUUCAGGUCACUGCAUAACUCAGAACUCAAGGUCACACUUCUUGAGAUGAUUAUGAAACCCCCAGAUGCUCAGCAUGAUAGUCUAGACAAGGCAGCAGAAGGAAGUUCCUCUGAUUGGGACAGAGAAGAAAAGCCCUUUGCAUGGACAGCU